GUUAAGCGACUAAGCGUACACGGUGGAUGCCCUGGCAGUCAGAGGCGAUGAAGGGCGUGCUAAUCUGCGAUAAGCGCCGGUAAGGUGAUAUGAACCGUUAUAACCGGCGAUACCCGAAUGGGGAAACCCAGUGUGAUUCGUCACACUAUCAUUAACUGAAUCCAUAGGUUAAUGAGGCGAACCGGGGGAACUGAAACAUCUAAGUACCCCGAGGAAAAGAAAUCAACCGAGAUUCCCCCAGUAGCGGCGAGCGAACGGGGAGGAGCCCAGAGCCUGAAUCAGCAUGUGUGUUAGUGGAAGCGUCUGGAAAGGCGCGCGAUACAGGGUGACAGCCCCGUACACAAAAGCGCAUGUGCUGUGAGCUCGAUGAGUAGGGCGGGACACGUGGUAUCCUGUCUGAAUAUGGGGGGACCAUCCUCCAAGGCUAAAUACUCCUGACUGACCGAUAGUGAACCAGUACCGUGAGGGAAAGGCGAAAAGAACCCCGGCGAGGGGAGUGAAAAAGAACCUGAAACCGUGUACGUACAAGCAGUGGGAGCACCCUUCGGGGUGUGACUGCGUACCUUUUGUAUAAUGGGUCAGCGACUUAUAUUCUGUAGCAAGGUUAACCGUAUAGGGGAGCCGGAGGGAAACCGAGUCUUAACCGGGCGUUAAGUUGCAGGGUAUAGACCCGAAACCCGGUGAUCUAGCCAUGGGCAGGUUGAAGGUUGGGUAACACUAACUGGAGGACCGAACCGACUAAUGUUGAAAAAUUAGCGGAUGACCUGUGGCUGGGGGUGAAAGGCCAAUCAAACCGGGAGAUAGCUGGUUCUCCCCGAAAGCUAUUUAGGUAGCGCCUCGUGAAUUCAUCUCCGGGGGUAGAGCACUGUUUCGGCUAGGGGGCCAUCCCGGCUUACCAACCCGAUGCAAACUGCGAAUACCGGAGAAUGUUAUCACGGGAGACACACGGCGGGUGCUAACGUCCGUCGUGAAGAGGGAAACAACCCAGACCGCCAGCUAAGGUCCCAAAGUCAUGGUUAAGUGGGAAACGAUGUGGGAAGGCCCAGACAGCCAGGAUGUUGGCUUAGAAGCAGCCAUCAUUUAAAGAAAGCGUAAUAGCUCACUGGUCGAGUCGGCCUGCGCGGAAGAUGUAACGGGGCUAAACCAUGCACCGAAGCUGCGGCAGCGAACGUAUCACCCAAGACAACUUUACGGAGUUGACGAUUGACGGAGCGAAGCGACGUCAAAGCGUUCAUUAAAGUCGAGUUGGCUUAGGGAUACGUUCGUUGGGUAGGGGAGCGUUCUGUAAGCCUGUGAAGGUGUGUCGUGAGGCAUGCUGGAGGUAUCAGAAGUGCGAAUGCUGACAUAAGUAACGAUAAAGCGGGUGAAAAGCCCGCUCGCCGGAAGACCAAGGGUUCCUGUCCAACGUUAAUCGGGGCAGGGUGAGUCGACCCCUAAGGCGAGGCCGAAAGGCGUAGUCGAUGGGAAACGGGUUAAUAUUCCCGUACUUGGUGUUACUGCGAAGGGGGGACGGAGAAGGCUAUGUUGGCCGGGCGACGGUUGUCCCGGUUUAAGCGUGUAGGUGUGUGUUCCAGGUAAAUCCGGUUCACUUUAACACUGAGGCGUGACGACGAGGCACUACGGUGCUGAAGCAACAAAUGCCCUGCUUCCAGGAAAA
rnacentral:rRNA from 2 species